UAGUGUGAUUGUUUGUUUUGGUAUGUUGAGAUGCUAUAAAAGGAGCAGUCCCAGUCCAGAUAGAGACCACAUUGUGAAGACAUUGUAUCCUUGCAUCCAGCUGAAUACCUGCAAAAAAUGGCUUCCUUCAAGUUAUCAGUGAUUGCCUUUCUGGCUAUUGGGCUUUAUCUGGACACAGUAUCUGCUACUGGAGUCAAUUCUCUAGUUGAAUCAAUUCUAGCGAGUGAUGAUGCGGCAGAGAUUGCUAAAGAUCUUGAUGAUAUUGAACAGAGUGAUUUGAUGAUGGCACUGGGACAAGCAAUGAAGAAAGUUGAAGACAGUGACGAAAUGAAGGCACUAAGUGAAGCAAUUGAGAAGCUUCAAAACAAUGAGGAGGGGGCUAAACUAAUUGCAUCAGCUGAAGCGUUGUAAGUAUUCUUUACUAAGUAAUCUCCAA